CGAUCCGGGCUCAGUGCUGCUCCUUCCCCCAACCCUGGCUCUUGGAAUAAAAAGAAUAAAAGAAAGAACAAGGACUCGAGAGUGAUCUUUGUCCAUUUCUAAGACUCUACUGGCGACCCAGGCGCAGGAGGUGUAGUGUGGGUGUCU